GACGAACGCUGGCGGCGUGCCUAAUACAUGCAAGUAGAACGCUGAAGGAGGAGCUUGCUUCUCUGGAUGAGUUGCGAACGGGUGAGUAACGCGUAGGUAACCUGCCUGGCAGCGGGGGAUAACUAUUGGAAACGAUAGCUAAUACCGCAUAAGAGUAGAUGUUGCAUGACAUUUGCUUAAAAGGUGCAAUUGCAUCACUACCAGAUGGACCUGCGUUGUAUUAGCUAGUUGGUGGGGUAACGGCUCACCAAGGCGACGAUACAUAGCCGACCUGAGAGGGUGAUCGGCCACACUGGGACUGAGACACGGCCCAGACUCCUACGGGAGGCAGCAGUAGGGAAUCUUCGGCAAUGGACGGAAGUCUGACCGAGCAACGCCGCGUGAGUGAAGAAGGUUUUCGGAUCGUAAAGCUCUGUUGUAAGAGAAGAACGAGUGUGAGAGUGGAAAGUUCACACUGUGACGGUAUCUUACCAGAAAGGGACGGCUAACUACGUG
rnacentral:rRNA from 1 species